rnacentral:rRNA from 1 species
GGGUGCGUAACGCGUAUAGAACCUACCUUUUACAGAGGAAUAGCCUUUAGAAAUGAAGAUUAAUGCCUCAUGGUAUUGUAGACUGGCAUCAGUUUAUAAUUAAAGAUUUAUCGGUAAAAGAUGGCUAUGCGUCCUAUUAGUUAGUUGGUAGGGUAAAGGCCUACCAAGGCUACGAUCCGUAGCUGGUCUGAGAGGAUGAUCAGCAAGAUUGGGACUGAGACACGGCCCAGACUCCUACGGGAGGCAGCAGUGGGGAAUAUUGCGCAAUGGGGGAAACCCUGACGCAGCGAUGCCGCGUGAGUGAAGAAGGCCUUAGGGUUGUAAAACUCUUUCACCGGUGAAGAUAAUGACGGUAGCCGGAG